rnacentral:tRNA from 6 species
GCGGUUGUGGUGGAAUUGGUAGACACGCAAGCUUGAGGUGCUUGUGCCCGAUAAGGGCGUGGGAGUUCGAGUCUCCCCAUCCGCACCA